CUGACAGUCACAACACAGCAGUCGAAUUCUCUUUAGAAAUACAUAAAUACAUCGUUCACAAACCACAUUCGUGCAUAAUCCACGGAUGAAUGUCAUAGUUACACAGUUGUGGAGCAUGAAGUGUGAAGACAUCAAAUGUAAUGGCAGCGGUUACUCCAGGCGACUAAAACAAUGCUUUACUGCAUACUAUCACUUUUAGAUCAGUAUAUAUCCAAAUUAAAAAGAAACCAGGUCAUUGUGAGAAUGAAAAUAUGUGAUAAUUGAGCCGGCAAUAUUGGCAGUGUUUUCUUAAUAAUUAGUUGUCAUGUCACAAUGAUCAGUAUUGUAAACAGGAACGCUCUACAGUCAUCUCAACAGGAUAAAAGGUAUACUUGACAUGAGUGUUGAGCUCAAUCUUAGGAAUGAGUCCAAGAACUACACUUCCCAGAGUGCACCAGCAGCACCAAUCUGGCUGCUUGUCACCUGUUCUGUCAUUUUAACUGAUUUGGAGCACUUGUUAAAAACCUGGAAUUCCUCAGUCAUUCAGACAAACAAACUUCACUGGGAAGACACUCCAAGUUCACGUGUAGGUUCAGUGCAAAGAUGCCAGUGGUAUACCUGUGCUGCCGUCAAAGCCCCCCACAGCGUACAGCAGGUCCCCCAGCACAGCGGUGCUCUUGCAUGCUGGGAACAGAGUGCCACUGGUCCUUCAGCCCAUCAUACACAUCCACCGUCCGCACAUGCAAGGAGCCGUUAAAUCCCCCCCCACUGCAUACACCUUACCGGUCAUGUACACCACACCAACAUUACACCAACGGAAAGAGGGUAAGACUAGGGCUGCACGGUGAAUCAAAAUUCAGUCUGCGAUUUGUCAUUCAGUGAAGCCCGGUUCUGUGAUCAGCAGUAAAUCUCUCUUGUGUCAGUCAUAACCUUUGCGUUUAGCACUAAAACCAGAUCCUGAAUCUGUGAAAAGUAAGGUGUAGUUAAGAGGACUCCCAAGUCAUUGAUCCUAAAACGGUUGUUGCUGGCAAACUGACUCGUAAAUAAACACAAUGAUUUCACAAUGA